UCGAGUUUUGUCGGUGUGAGAAUAACGUGGUAGCGAGGGAAAUUUAUCGUCGUCGAUAUUUGACUGACCGUGGCGAGAUUCUCGUGAGCAUGUCAAAAAAUUGGAAGGAAUAAAAAACCAAGGAAUUCUUGAGUGUAUUAAAGAAAAAUUACGUUGAGAAGAAUCUCCUUGUCGAGCUCACCUGCCCAUCGCCACAAGGAGAACCCUCCGCUGCUGGUCUGUAAGCCACACAAUAACCGGAUCCAGCGUCGAAGCAGAAAAGCUGGGCGCAGACACGGUCGUCUUUCUGUUUGAGGCAGGCUGAAUGGCGCGAAACUCAAACAACAAACACGAUUUGUGCACGUAUCUGCAAUGCUGUGACACAGUCGAGGUCCGAUUGGACCUUUUCAUGAACGAGAGAAUUGAAAGUUUUUUUCUUCAUAUUUACAAGCGUUUUAAUUCCGCUUUCAACUUACGAAACACGCGCUAGUUCCCCGAUCUUUUCGGCACUGCGCAUCCAGAGAGAGUAAUUUUCCUGGCAGCACUCUGGGCAAUGCUUCGUCUUCGUGAGGCGCGUUGUAAAGACAAGUCGCGGUGUCACCACUGAGAAACACAGUAGAUUGAGGAUGAAACAUGAAUUCAGACAUGCCGAUAAUCGAGAAAGAAAAUGAUCAACUCACUUCAAGAAGUGAUGGAACGAGGAGACACUGCAGUGGGACCAUUUGAAACCUUUCUCAGUGUGACGGAGGUCGCUCAUUAUGUAGCCGUCCUCCCAGCGACACUUUUCAGCCCCUGGACCUCCCAGAUAACUGGGCGGAGGGGAUCCAUCGUGGACGGCACCCAGCCUGCGAUAACGAGAAAAUUGUGAGCCUCGUUGCGAGCUGUUUUUUUUACAAAUUUCAAGUAUUUCUGAAAUCACUACCCAAAUUCCAAUGCGGAGUACUCACAAAUGACCAACUUCGUGGGCAGCUACGAUGAUACCGCUGAAUCCUCCAGUGUCUUCGAUAAUGGCGACCGAAUUCACUUUUUCCAGGCGUUUAUUGACGACGCAGGCGCCACCGACGUACGCGAAACCUGUGCAGAGUAUUCUGUUCAAUGGCCACUUUUCGUUCAAUCCGAAAAUGGUAAAUCGUGUCGAGUGUUUCUUCAAACUCUUUCGCGCCAAUUUUUCGUACAAAACUUGACCGCUCGAGGGCCUUGACGGGAGAAGUUUAAAAAAAUACUCGGACGAUUCUUUGAAUGUAGCAACAACGACAAAUAUUUUUAUUACUUUUACGAUUAGUAGAUUAAAUUCGGUUCUGCCUUUCAGGCCAAAAUCGAAUAAACUCAAGCGUUCUGCGCGAUUAUACGUUAUUAGAGAUUCCAAUGUUGAUAGACCUUGUUAAAUUGUUGUUAAAGUUAAAAAUGCCAUAAUUACGCAAAGCCAGAGAUUAGAGGCCCCCUUAAGAGCCACAUGCGGUUCGGGGUUAAUUUCACUUCUCAAAUAUUUUAUUUUUCACUGUGAAAUUUUAGCUUGCUGACAAGACAGCAUCGCAGCGAGAGAAUUCAUGUUCCAUCGUACUGAAUCGCGACUCUUUCAUCGAUUCGCAGUAGGCCUGAGAAGAGAAUAUUGCCGAGAUCGGGGACAUCGACUUACCGAUCGCGUUCCUCUUUUUACCGAAAGAGCAUCCAGAGCGAGAGAGCGAGAUAGAAAGAUAGAGCGAGCGAGAAAAAAAGAAAAAUGUAAACACACGAGUUAGAAAAUAUUUUUCGAAGCCACCAAGGGCCUCGAGUACUGUAAAUUAAGUGAUUGACGUGAUGUUCAUGAUCACGUUGAGUCGUUGAAAAAAAAAAUGAGCUUUCGUCGACGAAUUUCGAUUACGUUCGUGUCCUGCCACGUUUUAUAAAAAAUAUUUUGAUUAUUUUUUUUUUGUUUUUUUCGAGGGAGGUACCACAGUGCCAGAGGUCGUGGAUAGUUCAAGCCAGUGUGCUGAGUGAGCUAGAGUAAAGUGAGAACCUUCGAAAGAAAAUUAAUUUAAUCUCGUAAUUUUUCAAUUUCGUAUUCGGAAAUCUUUAGGCAGGAUUUUCUUGCGGAAUAAUUAGAUCGUACGUCAGAUACUCAGCCAAGAUUCUCUGCGAUGUUGUAAACGCGAAAAUAAGAAAAAAAAAAAAAAAUACAAAUCGAAAUGCGAAAA
rnacentral:lncRNA from 1 species